rnacentral:rRNA from 1 species
CCAGACUCCUACGGGAGGCAGCAGUGGGGGAUAUUGCACAAUGGGGGAAACCCUGAUGCAGCGACGCCGCGUGAGUGAAGAAGUAAUUCGUUACGUAAAGCUCUAUCAGCAGGGAAGAAAAUGACGGUACCUGACUAAGAAGCCCCGGCUAACUACGUGCCAGCAGCCGCGGUAAUACGUAUGGAGCAAGCGUUAUCCGGAAUUACUGGGUGUAAAGGGAGCGUAGACGGCCAGGCAAGCCUGGAGUGAAAGCCCGGGGCCCAACCCCGGGACUGCUCUGGGAACUGUCCGGCUGGAGUGCGGGAGGGGCAGGCGGAAUUCCUGGUGUAGCGGUGAAAUGCGUAGAUAUCAGGAGGAACACCGGCGGCGAAGGCGGCCUGCUGGACCGCGACUGACGUUGAGGCUCGAAAGCGUGGGGAGCGAACAGGAUUAGAUACCCUUGUAUAC